rnacentral:lncRNA from 1 species
AAUUUAAUCCGAAUAAAUAUCCAUUCCGUCCGGAUUCAACUUUCAAUCCGGCCUCCUAGGCCGGAUUGAAAAAAGAGGUGAUUGGGGGAUUCCCAUUCCACUCGGGAAUCGGAAUCGGAAUGGGACUCCCGCGUACCAAACACCAAUAAACGGAUUCACCCAUUCCGAUUCCGAUUCCAGGAUGAAAAAGAAGCGAACCAAACACGCCCUUAAUUCAUCAUUAUGAUGUAAUUCC